UACACUCCUACGGGAGGCAGCAGUGGGGAAUUUUGGACAAUGGGGGCAACCCUGAUCCAGCAAUGCCGCGUGAGUGAAGAAGGCCUUCGGGUUGUAAAGCUCUUUUGUCAGGGAAGAAACGGUGGUGGCGAAUAACUACUACUAAUGACGGUACCUGAAGAAUAAGCACCGGCUAACUACGUGCCAGCAGCCGCGGUAAUACGUAGGGUGCAAGCGUUAAUCGGAAUUACUGGGCGUAAAGCGUGCGCAGGCGGUUGUGUAAGUCAGAUGUGAAAUCCCCGGGCUCAACCUGGGAAUUGCAUUUGAGACUGCACGGCUAGAGUGUGUCAGAGGGGGGUAGAAUUCCACGUGUAGCAGUGAAAUGCGUAGAUAUGUGGAGGAAUACCGAUGGCGAAGGCAGCCCCCUGGGAUAACACUGACGCUCAUGCACGAAAGCGUGGGGAGCAAACAGGAUUAGAUACCCGUGUAGUCCCAUG
rnacentral:rRNA from 1 species